AUUGAACGCUGGCGGCAGGCCUAACACAUGCAAGUCGAGCGGAUGACGGGAGCUUGCUCCUUGAUUCAGCGGCGGACGGGUGAGUAAUGCCUAGGAAUCUGCCUGGUAGUGGGGGACAACGUUUCGAAAGGAACGCUAAUACCGCAUACGUCCUACGGGAGAAAGCAGGGGACCUUCGGGCCUUGCGCUAUCAGAUGAGCCUAGGUCGGAUUAGCUAGUUGGUGAGGUAAUGGCUCACCAAGGCGACGAUCCGUAACUGGUCUGAGAGGAUGAUCAGUCGCACUGGAACUGAGACACGGUCCAGACUCCUACGGGAGGCAGCAGUGGGGAAUAUUGGACAAUGGGCGAAAGCCUGAUCCAGCCAUGCCGCGUGUGUGAAGAAGGUCUUCGGAUUGUAAAGCACUUUAAGUUGGGAGGAAGGGCAGUAAGUUAAUACCUUGCUGUUUUGACGUUACCGACAGAAUAAGCACCGGCUAACUCUGUGCCAGCAGCCGCCGUAAAAC
rnacentral:rRNA from 1 species